rnacentral:rRNA from 1 species
GACGAACGCUGGCGGCGUGCUUAACACAUGCAAGUCGUACGGUAAGGCCCUUUCGGGGGUACCCGAGUGGCGAACGGGUGAGUAACACGUGAGUAACCUGCCCACAACUUUGGGAUAACGCUAGGAAACUGGUGCUAAUACUGGAUAUGUGCUCCUGCUGCAUGGUGGGGGUUGGAAAGCUCCGGCGGUUGUGGAUGGACUCGCGGCCUAUCAGCUUGUUGGUGGGGUAGUGGCCUACCAAGGCGGCGACGGGUAGCCGGCCUGAGAGGGUGACCGGCCACAUUGGGACUGAGAUACGGCCCAGACUCCUACGGGAGGCAGCAGUGGGGAAGAUUGAACAAUGGGCGCAAGCCUGAUGCAGCAACGCCGCGGGCGGGAUGACGGCCUUCGGGUUGUAAACCGAUUUCAGCAGGGACGAAGCUUUUUGUGACGGUACCUGCAGAAGAAGCACCGGCUAACUACGUG